GGUAAGGUGGCUGAGUAGGCGGUAGACUGUAAAUCUAUUUACGAGAGGUAAUCUCCCUUACCA
rnacentral:tRNA from 1 species